GUGGGUGCUGAGUAUCAAUCCCGGGGCCUCACAUGUCAUAGGCGAGUGCUCUACUGAUGAGGCACAACCCCAUCAUGCAACUUAUUUUUAAAAUGAGCAUGUUUCUUUCUCUUUCCCUGCUCCACCAUAAUUCCUCCUCCUCCCUAAUCUUAGGGGAAACAUGAUUACCUUUCUUCCACAUUCUAGGCAGAUUUUUCUAUCCCUGAGUGCACACCCACCAUAGGAAGGAAGGAUUUCAGAUUUUGGGGAUGGCACCAGAGAUUUACUAAAUCCUCACUUGAUCUGAAUAAACAGAACAGUUUAAGACCAAGAGAGAAGGUCUAACUGCAAUAAUAAAAACAGUUAUAUUACUGGUUUGUCAUAUCCCAGAACCAGGGAAGAUGGACACCUCAGAUCACACAGAGGAAUUUCAAGACUUAAGCCAGAUAAUACACCCAUAAUCCUUUGGAUGAAAAGGAGGUGUGUCACAUUGAGUGUAA
rnacentral:lncRNA from 1 species